rnacentral:rRNA from 1 species
AUUCGUGAAGCAAUCGGAAGUGGUUCCAAGAAAAGCCUCUAAGCUUCAGUCAUACGAGACCGUACCGCAAACCGACACAGGUGGGCGAGAUGAGUAUUCUAAGGCGCUUGAGAGAACUCGGGAGAAGGAACUCGGCAAAUUGGUACCGUAACUUCGGGAAAAGGUACGCCCUUGUAGCUUGACCACUUUACUGUGGAAGGGUGAACGGGUUGCAAUAAACUGGUGGCUGCGACUGUUUAAUAAAAACACAGCACUCUGCAAACACGAAAGUGGACGUAUAGGGUGUGACGCCUGCCCGGUGCUGGAAGAUUAAAUGAUGGGGUGCAAGCUCUUGAUUGAAGUCCCAGUAAACGGCGGCCGUAACUAUAACGGUCCUAAGGUAGCGAAAUUCCUUGUCGGGUAAGUUCCGACCUGCACGAAUGGCGUAACGAUGGCCACACUGUCUCCUCCCGAGACUCAGCGAAGUUGAAAUGUUUGUGAUGAUGCAAUCUACCCGCGGCUAGACGGAAAGACCCCAUGAACCUUUACUGUAGCUUUGCAUUGGACUUUGAACCAAUCUGUGUAGGAUAGGUGGGAGGCUUUGAAGCGGGGACGCCAGUCUUCGUGGAGCCAACCUUGAAAUACCACCCUGGUUUGUUUGAGGUUCUAACCUUGGUCCGUUAUCCGGAUCGGGGACAGUGCAUGGUAGGCAGUUUGACUGGGGCGGUCUCCUCCUAAAGUGUAACGGAGGAGUUCGAAGGUACGCUAGAUACGGUCGGACAUCGUGUUGAUAGUGCAAUGGCAUAAGCGUGCUUAACUGCGAGACUGACAAGUCGAGCAGGUACGAAAGUAGGACAUAGUGAUCCGGUGGUUCUGUAUGGAAGGGCCAUCGCUCAACGGAUAAAAGGUACUCUGGGGAUAACAGGCUGAUUCCUCCCAAGAGUUCAUAUCGACGGGGGAGUUUGGCACCUCGAUGUCGGCUCAUCACAUCCUGGGGCUGUAGCCGGUCCCAAGGGUAUGGCUGUUCGCCAUUUAAAGUGGUACGUGAGCUGGGUUUAAAACGUCGUGAGACAGUUUGGUCCCUAUCUGCCGUGGGCGUUGGAAAUUUGAAGGGGGCUGCUCCUAGUACGAGAGGACCGGAGUGGACAGACCUCUGGUGUACCGGUUGUCACGCCAGUGGCAUUGCCGGGUAGCUAAGUCUGGAAGAGAUAACCGCUGAAAGCAUCUAAGCGGGAAACUUGCCUUGAGAUGAGAUUUCCCAGAGCCUUGAGCUCUUUGAAGGGUCGUUCGAGACCAGGACGUUGAUAGGCUGGGUGUGGAAGUGCAGUAAUGCAUUAAGCUAACCAGUACUAAUUGCCCGUACGGCUUGUCCC